rnacentral:rRNA from 1 species
UACGUAGGGUGCAAGCGUUAAUCGGAAUUACUGGGCGUAAAGCGUGCGCAGGCGGUUGUGCAAGACAGAUGUGAAAUCCCCGGCUUAACCUGGGAACUGCAUUGUGACUGCACAGCUGGAGUGCGGCAGAGGGGGGGAUGGAAUUCCGCGUGUAGCAGUGAAAUGCGUAGAUAUGCGGAGGAACACCGAUGGCGAAGGCAAUCCCCUGGGCCUGCACUGACGCUCAUGCACGAAAGCGUGGGGAGCAAACAGG